rnacentral:tRNA from 1 species
GGGGCCGUAGCUCAGUUGGGAGAGCGCUACAAUGGCAUUGUAGAGGUCAGGAGUUCGAUCCUCCUCGGCUCCA